rnacentral:tRNA from 1 species
AGAAACUUAGGAUCAAGCCAAUUUUUAAACCGGGGGCCUUCAAAGCCCCAAAAAAGAGAUAGAACCUCUUAGUUUCUGU